rnacentral:tRNA from 1 species
GUUGAUAUGUCCGAGUGGUUAAGGGGACAGACUUGAAAUCUGUUGGGCUUUGCCCGAGCAGGUUCUAACCCUGCUCUCGACG